rnacentral:rRNA from 1 species
GACGAACGCUGGCGGCGUGCCUAACACAUGCAAGUCGAACGGAACUUUAUUGGAUGAGACUUCGGUUGAUGAAGAUAAAGUUUAGUGGCGGACGGGUGAGUAACGCGUGAGCAACCUGCCUUACAGAGGGGGACAACAGUUGGAAACGACUGCUAAUACCGCAUAAGCCCACAGUACCGCAUGGUACAGUGAGAAAAGAUUUUAUCGCUUUAAGAUGGACUCGCGUCUGAUUAGCUAGUUGGUGGGGUAACGGCCUACCAAGGCGACGAUCAGUAGCCGGACUGAGAGGUUGAUCGGCCACAUUGGGACUGAGACACGGCCCAGACUCCUACGGGAGCAGCAGUGGGGAAUAUUGGCACAAUGGGGGAAACCCUGAUGCAGCGACGCCGCGUGAGGGAAGAAGGUAUUCGUAUUGUAAACCUCUGUCUUCGGGGACGAUAAUGACGGUACCCGAGGAGGAAGCACCGGCUAACUACGGUG